UCCUCGUGUGACGUUCCUGGUGGGUUUGAGGCAGCAUUUUCCAGUGCAGUGCCUACAAGAAAAGCAGAACCAGAACACAAGACAAAGCACCGUUUGACGAUGCCCACUCCAAGUUGGACCAGGUCUGGAAAAAGUUGACUGAAGGCACCAUCGCAGAACUCUUGCCUGAAGAAGAAGAGGACAAUGCAUGUAAUUUAGAUUUUGCAGUCUGCCAUCAAUUAAGUUGUACGAAAAUCACUAGACUGAAGAGGGUAUUUGUGUGAGAAAGGGCAGGAACGUCUGGAUGUACAAUGGUUUCUGCAUUAGUGAAGCUGCUGCGAUAUAGUCUGCUGUUUGCAUCUGCUAACCUGUGGUGACCAGAAGCCAUUAUUUCCAACGGACACAAUGGCAACCAGAAACAUUACUCUCACGAUACUGAAGAAUGCAAAUGCAUUAUCUCAUGACCUCCAAGGAUAUGGACUCCAGACACUGCAGUGUGACAGCUAAACCAAGGAGCAUCGGAUGUGAUGGAAUUGCUCUACAAGCAACCUUGCCAAAGGCCCUUUUGCUGCACAAAGCUGGCUCUAUCUUUGUAUAUUGAGGGAGCUAAAUCAAUGUUAAAUGCUUGGCUCUUUUCACAGGACAAUGACCAGAACCUAAGCUGCGUCCUUCCUUUUUGAUUGACACUUGAAACGUUGAGUUGGAAUCAGCCAGAGGCACUGCUACAAGCUUGAAGCCUCUGCUGGGGAUAACAACUGGUGACAUCUGCAGAAAGGCCGACAAAAGGCAGUUGAAAGCUGUGUUUGUUGCUUUCCCCUCUCAGAUCUCCUCUCUUUCAUGGAGCUCCUUACUUGCUUUAAUAUUAUGAUUCAGCACCUGGCUCUUUUGAACCUUGCUUUAAACUUCAAAAGGCGAGGUGGUAUUAACAAACAUGAAACGAAAAAGUGGCAGUAGUUUGAUUUACUGUUGUCGUCUUAUCAAGGGGGUUUUUUGUCACCAGCUGCCACUUUCUGUCAUCUUUGGAACCAUUAUCAUUUCUCUAAAAUCUAAAAGACUCCACUUAAUAACAGCUUUGAAUACAGGCAGGAUCAGUAACAUAUACAGUUCUGGGAUGACAGGACUGUCAAAUGAAAAGAAAGAUGUUGCAAAAAAAAAAACAACCCUUAAAAAAAAACAAUAAAACAAAUAAAAGCUGUAGUACUUCUAAGUGACCUUGAUUUCAGAAUUAAACAAAUGAAGCGCAAUUCCAUUGUUCCUUUUGGAUUCAUUCUGCACUUUCCUUGUAACAUUUCUUUUUUGUUCUUGGGACUAAGGGAAAACAAAGCCAAGGCUUCCAGAAAAACUGCUCAGUGCACAACGAGCACUUGGUAUCACAUGAGCACCGUAAGCUCCUCACUUGUAAAAGCGCCAGUGAUAAUUACCAGUCUCAUUUUACUGCCGUCCUAGCACAGCAGCUCUCAUUCAGGCUGAAAUAGAGCCUUGAAAGCUGCCUUACUAGGGCAGACUCACUGGUCAAAAAUCUGUUUGACUCUUACUUUACAGCACCUUUCCGUGUUUCCCUGCUGUCUUUUCCAGUAGCGCUGUGCUGCGCUUCAGCUGCCAGGGCAGAACCCAAAAUGUCUCUGUGCAUCAUUAGGCCAGUUUGCCUAUCAUAGCUUUCCAGGUUCAGUUAAAAACAAUCAAAUAAAUACAAACCAGUUUCUGGCCAUCGAUCUACUGCACUUUCUCACUUGCCACCUCACCAUCAUCUAUGGGAAUAUCAUCCUUAUUCCAUUUGUUGUUGUUUUAUAAUGGUAUAUACAAUGAACUUAUCUCAAAGGAGAAA